UUUCAUGAGAUGAUUUUACAUUUUUGGUGUGUCGCACAUCGUGUUAAUAUUUGAAUAAAUCUUGUAGACCGUGAUUAGCGCGUUCGAGGAGUAGAUCACUUGUUGUAUGAUAGAAUGUUGAUGUACAGUUUGUUGAAACGUCCAAUUUUUGUUAUGAUCGUACAGUUGACAAUGUUUAGAAUGAUAAUAAACCAAAACACGAGUGUAAUGCCUAAGGCCUUAAUAUAUUUAAUCAUUAGUCUAACUAUUCUCAAUAUGUUCUUGAUGAGUACUGCUGUGGUAAUCAGUCGAACUGUUUUCUUUUUUUUUAAAGAAAACACACUCAUUACACAAAUGCUUACAUCACCAUAAACAUCUCUAUAUCUUAUAUACAUAGUUACUAUGAACGAGGAUCGAACCCGCCUCAGCAAGCGCUAUAGUCAGCUGAUAACUGCGCUAGUACGUCGCCGUAUUACGCUGUUUUAGUCUAUGUUCCUUGUGUUGUAUUAGACUUUUAAACUCAAUUAUUUUUAAUCGAUCUUAUAAUAAGCUAAUUAUUAACAUGUUUAAGCAGACAUUAUUUUGCAUUCCGUUAACAUUGUGUUGGUUUAAAUUUUUCUUUAUAAACAUUUUCAGUGUAUUGUUACCUGUGUUUGUACAUAUAUUUUGUACUAGCAUCCCGCCCCGGCUUCCCGUGGGUAUUUAACGAAAAUUUCAAAAUAAAUUUUUCUCCUAAUUUUUUUUCAAAAUAUAUUUGUAGCCUAUGUCACCCGCGAAUAGUGUAGCUUCCCAACAGUGAAAUAAUUUUUAAAUCGGUUGAGUAGUUUCGGAGCCUAUUCAAUACAAACAAAACAACAGUCAAAUCUUUCCUCUUUAUAAUAUUAGUACAGAUUAUUGCAUUGCAUAUUGUAAUUCUAGUACAAAAAUAAAACAAAAUGUAAUCGGUUUUAAUAUAAAUUUUAUUCAAAUUUAUUACUGUCGACGGAAAAGAUAUUGCAAUUUCGGAAACGAUUAACUCAUAUAAUUACUUAUAACGUUAUUACGAUAUCCUUUAUGAAUUGUUUUAUUUGAAACGAUACUUGAUUUUUCCUUUCAUUUGUGGACUGAUUUCGAUGAAAAAAAAAAUUUUUUUUUCUAAAAAUGUACAUUUAAGUUGGUUCUUAAUAAAUUCACAUUGAAGACAAAAAAUUACGGACGAGAAAGACGAAAAUUUAAAAAAUAUAUAAAGCCAUUAUAUGUAAAAGUAAUUGUUAAUUGAGUACUUUCAAAUCGUUUCAACUUAUUUUCUUUUCUCUGUUAAUGAAAUAAACUAAUAGUAUAGGAAUUAAAAAUAAAAAAAUUACAGUAAAACUUCUAAUAGGUCAAAUGAAGCUUUUCAUUAUUACGUAAACGUGUUGUUCAAAUUGAUGAUUCACCUCGCAUCACUAAUUAAAAGAUGUGCUCGUCGCAUAUAAAAAAAUUAUGCCUGCUGGUUACAUAUUAAAAUAGUUUAAACCAAAGAUAAAGAUAUGCUUAAAAAUAAAACAAUAAACUAGAAAAAAAAUAUAUAUUUAUUGAGUCGUACCUAUAUAAAAACAUAUACAUGACAAAAGCACACAAAACAUUGUAAACAAAAGACAAAUAAUAAGUAAUACAUUUAGGUAACAAAAAUAAAAAUAUUAUUUAAAAACAAUAAACUAGUGUAUAAAAAUAAAAAAUCUAUUUUCAAAUAUUUAUUUCAAUUACCCGUUUGAACUGUUCAGUAUGUACCAAAUAAUAGUUUAAUUUAAUCGUACCAAAAUUACUCACCUAGUUACGUUAAAUUCUUGUUCAAUAUUUCUAGUAAUACGUGUACUAUAAAAUGAGAUUACAAUGCAAGGCCGCAUAAGGCUUCCCCCGCACUUGUGGACCUAACUAUACUUGACCUAAUGUCGUUCUACUUGCUUAUUCUAUUAAAUUCCAGUGACAAUUCUUUAAACAUUUAUAUUUGCUUGAUAAAAAUGUAUUAGCGGGCAUGUGUAACAUGUUUAUUAUGUGUAUCUUUGUGCAUAUUUAUAUUUUCAACCUAUUGUGUUUUAUUGUGAAGUUUACACAGCGUUUGUGAGCCAUGUUAAAUAGAAUUAUAAACACACAAUAGAACUUACGUACCUAGUUGUUUAUAACAAGAUUAAGGUAAACUUAUUCAUAUUUAAUCAAUAUGAUAGGCAUAGUUUUUCUUCUGCAAAAAAAAAGUAAAAAAAAAAAUUUACUAUUCACUUUUGACAGAACGAAAUUGAUGAUGAUGAUGAUGAUUAUUAAGUUUUGACAGAACGAAGUCUGUCCGGGCAGCUACUACAUAAUAUAAUUUCUAAAAUACCCAGGAUGAAGAAAGUUACCUUUGAAAUGUCAGCGCGAUUGAAUCAAUCUUGUUUACAAACUCGUUUUUACCUAGUCACCUUCUUUCUUAUUUACAAGCUAACCCUCUCUUUCCCGACCCUGUAAAUACGAAAUAGGGAGAUGUGUGGGGUUGUUGAUUAAUUACAAAUUAUCAAAUUAUGCUAUUUAUGUAUUUAGAGCAGGCUGAUCUCAAAAUCAUUAAGGUAAAAAU
rnacentral:misc_RNA from 1 species